rnacentral:rRNA from 1 species
UACGGGGGGGGCAAGCGUUGUUCGGAAUUACUGGGCGUAAAGGGUUCGUAGGUGGCCAACUAAGUCAGACGUGAAAUCCCUCAGCUCAACUGGGGAACUGCGUCUGAUACUGGUCGGCUUGAGUGCAGGAGGGGAACGCGGAAUUCCAGGUGUAGCGGUGAAAUGCGUAGAUAUCUGGAGGAACACCGGUGGCGAAGGCGGCGUUCUGGACUGCAACUGACACUGAGGAACGAAAGCCAGGGGAGCAAACGGG